rnacentral:rRNA from 1 species
GACGAACGCUGGCGGCGUGCUUAACACAUGCAAGUCGAACGGAAAGGCCCUGCUUUUGUGUGGUGCUCGAGUGGCGAACGGGUGAGUAACACGUGAGUAACCUGGCCUUGACUUUGGGAUAACUUCAGGAAACUGGGGCUAAUACCUGAUAGGAGCUCCUGCUGCAUGGUGGGGGUUGGAAAGUUUCGGCGGUUGGGGGUGGACGCGCGGCUUAUCAGCUUGUUGGUGGGGUAGUGGCUUACCAAGGCUUUGACGGGUAGCCGGCAUGGGAGGGUGACCGGCCACAUUGGGACUGAGAUACGGCCCAGACUCCUACGGGAGGCAGCAGUGGGGAAUAUUGCACAAUGGGCGGAAGCCUGAUGCAGCAACGCCGCGUGCGGGAUGACGGCCUUCGGGUUGUAAACCGCUUUCGCCUGUGACGAAGCGUGAGUGACGGUAAUGGGUAAAGAAGCACCGGCUAACUACGUG